UUCCAUUUCCUGGGAAUCACACCAGGGGAUGAUACCAAAUUUUUGUUUCCUAGAGGCCUCUGAAGAGGAGCUACCAUCAGUCUCCACCAUAGCUAAAUUAGGAUUCUCCCUCCCCUUGAUAUACUGACUCAGAAUUAUCACCAAGUCAGUCUAGGAGAUCAAUUUUUCCCAAGUAAUAUACAUUUAACACAGUUAUAUAACGACAGUUUCACUUCUCCCAUACUGUUAUAACAGAAAGAAAGGCACUAUUAACAAUACCACUCUUUGGUCUUUUCUAGGAAGGAAUUGUUCAAAUCAUCCUAGAGAAAAGGAAGUCUGGGAAUUGAUGGGGACCUGACCUAAUUUUUCAGAACAAUAUGGAGUCCAUUAAUGGGAUUAAAGAUUUUAAGGCCUAAGCAACUAUUUUGGGAAGAAAUAAUGAAAGGCAGAACUAUGUCUGAAAGCAGUUCAUUCUGAUCAGAUACAUCUUCCUGGAGAUUGGAUUCAAAAGAUAUCACUAAACCAGAGAGUAAUUUUUCUUCCUAGGGUGACAUUGAUUCAUCACAGACAUGACUGUUGUGAGGAUGUAUCCUUGACCUGGGCAGUCAGGUUCAUAACAUAUGCUGACUAGAAGGAUAAAAUCUCUUUUUCUGAGGUGCCAACAUGCUCCACAAACAACCCCAUGUAAUGCAUGGCAGGGACAAAAUUUCUCCACUGGUCCUGACCCAAAGCACACCAGGAGAGAAGCCACCUCCAGUUUUGGAGAGAAAGCUCUUCUCCCAGGUAGACUUCAAGAUUCCAGAGGCAGCCCCAACUGUGUGGGACAAAGACCACUGACUCAAAUAAUCAAGGAGAUUUAUUAAGGUGAAUGUAGAAAGGAAUUUUAUUACCAUUUCAUGAGAAAGGACAUCUUCUUCCCAACAAGCAGUCAGGCAAAGGAGAGGAGGGUUACAGAAGGAGAAGACCAAAUUUUACAGUUCUUAACUUGGAGAUUCCCCACCCACCAAUCCCAGUUACCUGGAGGCAGACUCACAAUCUAGACUAUCCCAGACACAAAGAAUAAAGAAACAGAAAUUAAUCAAUUCAAAAUCAUAAAAGCAUUCAUAACUUUAUUUGGUGUAACGCCUGCUGAUGUAGCAAACUCUUACAAUGGUACUCAAGGAGGGAGACUUGGAGUUCCUGUUUCUAAAUCAGUUAAAUUUUGGUAAAUGAAAUUGAGACCUAGCAUUUGAACAAAUUUAUCCUAGUGUCUCUGAGAAGUUUUCACCUAUUAUACUCACUACAAACACAGAAAUGAUUGUAUUACAUAUUUUAACAUACUUAACAUGUAUUGGAUUACUUGCCAUCUAGGGAAGGGGUGGGGGAAAGGAGGGGA